rnacentral:rRNA from 1 species
AAAGAAAAUAACAAUGAUUCCCCUAGUAACGGCGAGCGAAGAGGGAAUAGCUCAAAUUUUAAAUCUGUUGGGUCUUACCUAACCGAGUUGUAAUUUGAAGAAACGUUUUCUGCGUGUUUGAUUUAGCCCAAAUCCUUUGGGAUAAGGUAUCAUGGAGGGUGAGAAUCCCGUCCGGCCUAAUCAAAUGUGCUUUACGAUACGUUUUCUAAGAGUCGGGUUGUUUGGGAUUGCAGCUCAAAAUGGGAGGUAAAUUUCUCCUAAGGCUAAAUAUAGGCGAGAGACCGAUAGCGAACAAGUACCGUGAGGGAAAGAUGAAAAGAACUUUGAAAAGAGAGUUAAACAGUACGUGAAAUUGUUGAAAGGGAAACGAUUAAAGUCAGUCGUACUAACGGGGAAUCAACCUUUUGAGGGUGGAAUUGUGGGAUUCAGAGUGCCUUUGUCUUUCACAACCUGCUUUUUUUGGGUGCACUUUCUCGUAUUGUAGGUCAGCAUCGGUUUCGACCGUUAUAAAAUGACUGGAGGAAUGUAGCUUCGAUCUCGUAUUGAAGUGUUAUAGCCUUUGGUAGAUGUAACGGAUGGGAUCGAGGAUUGCAAUGAAUACCCUCAUGGGCUAUCCGCCUGGCCUCUGACAUGUCACUCUGGUGCCGAAAGCUUGCUUAUGGUAUUAUAGUGUACGGUCAAAAGGUUAGAACGGAUUAAAUU